AACGCACAUUGCGCCCGCUAGUAUUCUGGCGGGCAUGCCUGUUCGAGCGUCAUUUCAACCAUCAAGCCCCCGGCUUGCGUUGGAGCCCUGCGGCUGCCGCAGGCUCCCAAAUACAGUGGCGGGCUCGUCGUCGUACCGAGUGCAGUAAACAUCCUCGCUCAGGGAACGCGUCGGGUUCUUGCCGUGAAACCCCCCCAUAUUAAGGUUGACCUCGGAUCAGGUAGGAAUACCCGCUGAACUUAA
rnacentral:misc_RNA from 1 species